UUGUUGGUACACAUAUAUUUGCGUGUUAUAUAUAAUGUUCCGUUUAUCAGAGGCGUUAGUGCCAUUUUUUCUACCAUUAGGAUGGGGAAUAGGAUACGCAGUGUUGACUGGAUUGAAAAAGGUUUCUCUCCGGGCGCUCCGGCUUCCUGCUCCAGUCUGAAAUCACUGCUUGUUAAUUGAUCUUGAAAUUCUACUUAGGCCAAGGAAGCUGGAAGCUUGAAGAGGAUACACACUGGGAGCGGAGGAGAAGGGGGGAGCGCUGUCGUUGUGUAAGGUUGUGUGAUUGCGAGAGCGAAGCUGAGCUGCUGAGGCCCUGAUAAGACGCUGAUGGUGUGCAGAAGAAGCAUCAGCGGGUUAUGAUAACGCCAAAGUAAACAUUGGCCCAAGCUUGGCAAACGUAGGUCACACACUGUAAAAUGGUUCACGUUUCGAGGUGAUUUUAGUCAAGCUGAGGAGACAGGUUUUCAAUAUUAAGUGCUUAAAAUCAAAACUUAGAUUCAUCAUAUUUAUUAAAUGAUCUUGAGUGUGAACAAAAGAGAUGAUUAUAGAUUUCAAAACAGAAUCAUUUUGGAACAAAGAUGUAUCAAACCUCCCAUGAAUUAAAAACUGCUGCAGUACCUGAGUCUGAAACUCUGAAAGUGGAACCUUUCAAGCUCAACUAAUGUUGGACGAGCAAAAUAUCUGAGAAACGUUUAUGCUCAGAUGAAAAAGAUUCAGCUGUUUUGAAACAUUAACAAGUUGCAUAGAUUCAGAUUCAAAACCAGCACCAAUUAUCAAGCACGGCGGCGGCAGCAUUAUGCUGAAGGUCUUUUUUGCUAUAUAUUUGUGCACUGUUUGCAA